UCAUGUGAAGAAUGAAAAAUAUUGUUUAGGUGAUGCUCCAGAGAUGAAGUGUUCUCCAGGCUUCGUGACUGUGGUACUCAUAUUGCUUGGACAAACACAUGGAGACUCAGUGACUCAGACAGAGGGCCAAGUGACCCUCUCAGAAGAGACUUCCCUGACUAUAAACUGUACCUAUUCAGCAACUGGGUAUCCAAAUCUCUUCUGGUAUGUCCAGUAUCCAGGAGAAGGUCUAGAGCUCCUCCUGAAAGCCUUGAGGGACAAGGAGAAGGGAAGCAACAAAGGAUUUGAAGCCACCUACAACAAAGAUUCCAAAUCCUUCCACUUGGAGAAAGGCUCGGUGCAAGCCUCAGAUUCAGCUGUGUACUACUGUGCCAUGUACGACACAGUGAUGGGGACUGUAGGGGGAGCUGAGCACAAACUCUGGGCAGAACAGGGGCCUGGAUGCUGAGUGUCUCUGCCUGAUCCACUCUGGUUCCAGCACAAUCUGUUGUUUGUCCUUCAGUGUCUGGUUGAUAGAAAAAUCAUACAAACAACUAGAGCACAGGAACCAGAAGUAACAUUCCCCAACCCCAGCUGUUUCUUAGUGACACUGAGACUAGCUUCAUU